rnacentral:tRNA from 1 species
AAGUGAAGAAGCAAAUAUUGCAAUCAGCUUCGACCUGACCCCAGAUAAGAAAUUAUCCGCACUUU